UACGGAGGGUGCAAGCGUUAUCCGGAUUCACUGGGUUUAAAGGGUGCGUAGGCGGCCCUGUAAGUCAGUGGUGAAAUACUCCAGCUUAACUGGAGGGGUGCCAUUGAUACUGCAGGGCUUGAGUGGAGUCGAAGUAGGCGGAAUUGACGGUGUAGCGGUGAAAUGCUUAGAUAUCGUCAAGAACACCGAUAGUGAAGACAGCUUACUAGGCUUCUACUGACGCUGAGGCACGAAAGUGUGGGGAUCAAACAGG
rnacentral:rRNA from 1 species